rnacentral:rRNA from 1 species
CCCUUAGAUGUUCUGGGCCGCACGCGUGCUACACUGAGUGGAUCAGCGGGUCAGGUUGCGCGAAAGUGUUUCCUAAUCUUUAAAUCCGCUCGUGAUGGGGAUUGACGGUUGCAAUUUUCCGUCAUGAACGAGGAAUACCUUGUAAGCGCGGGUCAUCAUCCCGCGCUGAAUACGUCCCUGCCCUUUGUACACACCGCCCGUCGCUCCUACCGAUUGAGUGGUCCGGUGAGGCUUUGGGAUCUGAGCGGAAAGAGCGUUUCGCUGUUUCUGCCCGGAAAACUCAGUCGAACCUUAUCAUUUAGAGGAAGGAGAUGUCGUAACA